rnacentral:piRNA from 1 species
GUGUUGCUGUUACCUGUUCUCAAGU